rnacentral:rRNA from 1 species
AACGAACGCUGGCGGCAGGCUUAACACAUGCAAGUCGAACGCAUCGCAAGAUGAGUGGCAGACGGGUGAGUAACGCGUGGGAACAUACCCUUUUCUACGGAAUAGCUCUGGGAAACUGGAAUUAAUACCGUAUACGCCCUACGGGGGAAAGAUUUAUCGGGGAAGGAUUGGCCCGCGUUGGAUUAGCUAGUUGGUGGGGUAAAGGCCUACCAAGGCGACGAUCCAUAGCUGGUCUGAGAGGAUGAUCAGCCACAUUGGGACUGAGACACGGCCCAAACUCAUACGGGAGGCAGCAGUGGUGAAUAUUGGACAAUGGGCGCAAGCCUGAUCCAGCCAUGCCGCGUGAGUGAUGAAGGCCUUAGGGUUGUAAAGCUCUUUCACCGAUGAAGAUAAUGACGGUAGUCGGAGAAGAAGCCCCGGCUAACUUCGUGCCAGCCGCCGCCGUAAAAC